GAUGAACGCUGGCGGCGUGCCUAAUACAUGCAAGUCGAGCGAACAGAUGAGGAGCUUGCUCCUCUGACGUUAGCGGCGGACGGGUGAGUAACACGUGGAUAACCUACCUAUAAGACUGGGAUAACUUCGGGAAACCGGAGCUAAUACCGGAUAAUAUAUUGAACCGCAUGGUUCAAUAGUGAAAGACGGUUUUGCUGUCACUUAUAGAUGGAUCCGCGCCGCAUUAGCUAGUUGGUAAGGUAACGGCUUACCAAGGCGACGAUGCGUAGCCGACCUGAGAGGGUGAUCGGCCACACUGGAACUGAGACACGGUCCAGACUCCUACGGGAGGCAGCAGUAGGGAAUCUUCCGCAAUGGGCGAAAGCCUGACGGAGCAACGCCGCGUGAGUGAUGAAGGUCUUCGGAUCGUAAAACUCUGUUAUUAGGGAAGAACAAAUGUGUAAGAAACUAUGCACGUCUUGACGGUACCUAAUCAGAAAGCCACGGCUAACUACGUG
rnacentral:rRNA from 1 species